rnacentral:lncRNA from 1 species
AGGUGACUUCAUUGGUUUGGAGGUCACGUUCUUCCACUGGGACAUCCAAAGGGCUUUCAUCUCCAUGGAGUAAGUUCCUUUCAUUAUUCUGGAAACAGCUGCCUUCCUGAUUUCCAUGUUGAGCAGUCUUGCCUCCUCAUGCUGUUUGGGAAGCAGGCUUGCUGUGAGAAGAGGCUGGGCCCCUGCACCUAGCACUGAGACUGCUUCGUCAGUUGUGCGUACUCACAGAGCCACCUUGGGUCCCGACUGUGGCCUACACGACUGGAGUUUACUUGUGGAGUUGUAGCAGAAGUGCUCUGAGAUGCCACUUUUUAAAACCAUUUUAAAAAUACUGACCAGUUCAAAAAUACAAUCACCAAUAAAGUUUGUAAAGAAACGGA